GGUGUACAUAAUAAAAACCUCCUCGAGUGACGAUACAUUACUGAUCGUUCGGCGCACCCUGGGCAGUCAACUUUAAAUCCAUCAUGUUGACUGGCUAAUCCCUACACCACGGCAUGAAGAAGAUGCAUCACGAUGAUCAUCUCCUUGCCCAUUAAACGCAGUGACGCGCCGCAUCGGCCCUCACGGUGUAAUGCGCUAGCGUAAGCGUCCUCCGGGUGACGGACGGAGGAAAAAGUCGGUAGUACAGCUUAGCUACGCUUCCGGCUAAGUCCGAUGGACUCGCUGUCUUCUGACGGGUGUGGUCCUCCAGCAAUAUGGGGGUUGUGCGGCGGGUUAACGCCCCUCCCACGCAAAAAAGACCAAGUUACGAAACCGA